AGCCUGAACGCUGGCGGCGUGGCUAAGACAUGCAAGUCGCACGGUGGUAGCAAUACCACAGUGGCGAACGGGUGAGUAAUGAAUCGCUAACGUACCCCGGACUCCGGGAUAGCUGUCCGAAGGGGCAGGUAAUACCGGGUAACAUACCCUUUGGGCAUCCAGAGGGUCUCGAAGGUCCGCC
rnacentral:rRNA from 1 species